CCCUCCCCUAAAUCACUCCAAAAAAAACAAUCCCCAAUUCUACACAAGUGUUUCUACACUAACAAAGCAACAGCUCCUUAACGAAUUCCCAACUUUACACGAGCUCGUCUCUCGAGGUUAAAUGUUAUUACUUGGUAAGAUUCGGACCUCGCCAAGUGUUUUGAAAACCCGCAACGCUCGCAAAGGUGCAUAGUGAGAAUAAUAAGUGAAGAGACAGACUUGUCCAAAACGCCCACCACGAAGGUGCAUAGUGAGAAGAGUAAGUCAAGAGAUAGACUUGUCCAAAAAGAAACGGAAGAGAAAGCUUGGGGAGACGCUCACGAAGGUGCAUAGUGAGAAGAGUAAGUCAAGAGAUAGACUUGUUCAAAAAGAAACAGAAGAGAAUGCUUGGGGUUACACUCACGAAGGUGCAUAGUGAGAAGAGUAAGUCAAGAGACAGACUUGUUCAAAAAGAAACGAAAGAGAAUGCUUGGGGAGAUAGAAGUGUGAGAUAGUUCUCAAGCUAAGAAAGUUGUAAAAGCUAAGAACUAGCAAGUAAUCGUCCAGGAUUCUCCACCAGGACUUGAAAUCGUCGAGGGAAAAAAAUCGGUUCCGAGGAAUCGUCGAUCCGGACUUGGAAUCGUCGAGAAAAGUUUACCGGGUCCGAGGAUUUGUCGACCAGGAGUGGAAAUCGUCGAGAAAAAUCUAUCGGGUCCGAGGAAUCGUCGACCAGGACGAGGAAUCGUCGACCGGUCCGAGGAUUUGUCGACCAGGGGUUGAAAUCGUCGACCGGGUCCGAGAAUUCGUCGAC
rnacentral:misc_RNA from 1 species